GCUCCCAGCCCCUGGACAGAUCUGUCCGCGGCUCCGCGGCCACAAGGGUAAUUACUGCGGGGGCUCCCGGGGACACCGCGGGCAGCCGGGACCGUGCGGCACGGCGGAGAAGCGGAGACACCAGGGAGAGCCAGGAGUUAUAAAUGUUGGCGAAAUUUCAGCUUGUUCAAAAUGAGCAGCAAAGCUCUGUCUCCAGUGGGACAAGGGGCUGACUGACAGAAUCGCAAAAGGAUGUGAUUGGAAAGUAAGCUGGGAAGGCAGAAGCAGAUUGUACUUCCUACGUUGAGAAACAUGGAUAGACUCAUCCUAUGCACACCUGACAGAGGAUAGAGGCUGGGGAAACAGCUGAUUGUGAGUUUAUCUGGAAUUAACAGAACUGUCUUUAGAGGAAGAGGGCUCAGAACAUGUUCUGGCAAAGGAAAAGGGAGAGAAAAAGACUUAAAUUCUUAGAGUGUGUGGAUACAUUUGGUUAGAAGAUGAACAUGAGAAGUCUGAGAAACAGACAUGGCACUACUUCAUGGAAAAAUUAGAGGCAACUUAACUGCUAUGAUGGACAAAAGAGGAGCAUUCUGCAUUAACUAAUUUGGUAGAAGAGAAGCAGCCUCUUGGUCUUAAACAAAUGAGCUUCUCUCUCUUCCAGAGCUUGAUGCAGGAAGAACUUUGAAAUAUUUGGUAGAGCCACAUGUGACUGAUCAAAAUAUUCACCCUAAGGACACAAAACAAGAGUGUUAAGAUCUGCCAGAUAUGGGACUCACCUGCAGCAGAAUGUGGCUUUAACAGAACAUGGGAGAUCCUUCCAAUGGAAGGUAUUUUGUUUACAAAGCACAAUCACUUUGGAGACCUUGAUCUGACUUCUACAAUAAAUGAACUAGAUUCUUUUGGCUGCACUUUGUGAUCUGGAGUUGGUACUGUUUAUUCUUUCACCACAGGAGCAGAAUUUGGAGAUGGACAGCCUCUGUUGCUUCUCAUUUGGGAGCUGCUCUGGGGCUUUGGUGUACAGGGCACAUCCUGCCUGAGUACCACCAGCCCUCACCCUCCUGCUGGUCUCCAGGUGCCUCUCCUUUCUUCUCUUUCUGCCUGGGAGCUCUCUCCCACUGCUGCACAGCCACAGUGCUCAGACAGCCUCAUCCUCUCCCUUUCCUCCACUCUCCCUUCCCUGGACCUGGGGGAAAAUUCUGUUCUA